ACUCUUAUGAGUAUAGAGCCUUUUGUACUCAUAAGUUUUAGCCAUUAGAUCUACCUUUUAAUCAUUUUCAUCCGUUAGAUUAUACUAUUCAACUAACCACCCACUCAACCCUAGAGGACCCACUAUCAACCUAACCGUAACCACUCUCAUCCUAGCCGCACAUUUUUUCAUCCGAACGUCCGAAAACUUAUGAGUACAAAGGGCUCUAUACUCAUAUGAGUAUAGUAGCCCUAGCCAUAUAUAU
rnacentral:lncRNA from 1 species